AGCGAACGCUGGCGGCGUGCUUAACACAUGCAAGUCGAGUGCGUAGCCCUUUGUAGCAAUACAGAGGGUGGGCGCACGGCGCACGGGUGAGUAACACGUGGGUAACCUGCCCUUCGGUGGGAAUAACCCCGCGAAAGCGGGGCUAAUUCCGCAUAACAUUCCGGGGACACAUGUUCUCGGACUCAAAGGAGUGAUUCGCCGGAGGAGGGGCCCGCGCCCGAUUAGCUUGUUGGUAGGGUAACGGCCACCAAGGCUUUGAUCGGUAGCCGGUCUGAGAGGAUGGCCGGCCACACUGGAACUGAGACACGGUCCAGACUCCUACGGGAGGCAGCAGUGGGGAAUCUUGCGCAAUGGGCGAAAGCCUGACGCAGCGACGCCGCGUGGGGAUGA
rnacentral:rRNA from 1 species